UGAGGAAUAUUGGUCAAUGGGCGAGAGCCUGAACCAGCCAAGUCGCGUGAAGGAAGACUGCCUUAUGGGUUGUAAACUUCUUUUAUACAGGAAUAAAAAGGCUUACGUGUAGGCCAUUGCAAGUACUGUAUGAAUAAGCAUCGGCUAACUCCGUGCCAGCAGCCGCGGUAAUACGGAGGAUGCGAGCGUUAUCCGGAUUUAUUGGGUUUAAAGGGUGCGCAGGCGGGCUUUUAAGUCAGCGGUGAAAUCUGGACGCUUAACGUCCAAACUGCCGUUGAAACUGGGAGUCUUGAGUAUGGAUGAAGUAGGCGGAAUUCGUUGUGUAGCGGUGACAUGCAUAGAUAUAACGAGGAACUCCGAUUGCGUAGGCAGCUUACUAAGCCAUAACUGACGCUCAUGCACGAAAGCGUGGGGAUCAAACAGGAUUAGAUACCCUGGUAGUCCACGCCGUAAACGAUGAUUACUAGUUGUAUGCGAUAUGAUAGUAUGUGACUAAGCGAAAGCGAUAAGUAAUCCACCUGGGGAGUACGCCGGCAACGGUGAAACUCAAAUGAAUUGACGGGGUCAUAGC
rnacentral:rRNA from 1 species